rnacentral:rRNA from 1 species
GGACGAACGCUGGCGGCGUGCCUAAUACAUGCAAGUCGAACGGUCUUUCUAUGGAAGCUUGCUUCCGACUGAGAAGAUAGUGGCGAACGGGUGAGUAACACGUGGGUAACCUGCCCAUAAGAGGGGGGAUAACAUCCGGAAACGGGUGCUAAUACCGCAUAGUUUCUUGAUCGCAUGAUUGAGAAAGGAAAGACGGCCUUUGUGCUGUCGCUUAUGGAUGGACCCGCGGCGUAUUAGUUAGUUGGUGAGGUAACGGCUCACCAAGACGAUGAUACGUAGCCGACCUGAGAGGGUGAUCGGCCACAUUGGGACUGAGACACGGCCCAAACUCCUACGGGAGGCAGCAGUAGGGAAUCUUCCGCAAUGGACGAAAGUCUGACGGAGCAACGCCGCGUGAGUGAAAGAAGGUUUUCGGAUCGUAAAACUCUGUUGUCAGAGAAGAACAAGUUGGAGAGUAACUGCUCCAGCCUUGACGGUAUCUGACCAGAAAGCCACGGCUAACUACGUGCCAGCCGCCGC